CUCGGCAGGAGGGCGCAGCCCAGCUGUCUGUCACACUGUCCUCCCGAUGCCUGCAGAAUCCCUGUGCAGUAACACUACAUCAGAGGCAAGAGCUUGCGAGCGGCUCGAUUUCUUAUUCCACGAGAUUCAAACCAGCCAGACGAAAGCAGCACUGACAGCAAGAGCCCUGUGUGGCAGCAGCUGCUUUUGGUUUAGGGAAGAUAAGCCUAUUCUCCCCUUUAACAAAAUAGAUAACAAUGUUUCUGGUCUGAACACACACUUCAGCCUGGCCAAACCUUGAAGAAGUGCAGCCACACUGUCUGAAGCUUCUCAAGUCGCCAGAAUCUCUCGCGGUCGCAGACUGAGAACUGAAACUGAAGGUUGCUGUGAGGGGCCGUGCCAAGACAGAGGAAGUGCUUCCUGCCUGGUUAAGGAGGAGGACUUCUUAACUGGGGCUGCUAACUCAGAAAAUGGAGAUUGGGUUCUGAAGUGGAUCAUUCUACAGAAGGCUUGAUUCCCCAGGCGUGAAAACACUUGGUCACUACCUGCAGCCUGAUUUUCAUGGUGAGACACAGUGAAAAUUGUGAAGUUGAAUCCAACAUUAUAUGACUGAAAAUUUGGUGACAAGUUCUCGGUUCCUUUUCAACUCAAUUCUCCUCGUUGACCUACAGUGUAUGGAACGCCUGCAUCCUGCACUAUAUCUGGGAUCUCACAAUGCGAAGUGGGAAAGAUAUAUGUAUUUUUGGCUCUGUAAGAUGAGUUGC